rnacentral:rRNA from 1 species
UACGGAGGGAGCUAGCGUUGUUCGGAAUUACUGGGCGUAAAGCGCGCGUAGGCGGCUUUGUAAGUUAGAGGUGAAAGCCCGGGGCUCAACCCCGGAACUGCCUUUAAGACUGCAUCGCUUGAAUCCGGGAGAGGUGAGUGGAAUUCCGAGUGUAGAGGUGAAAUUCGUAGAUAUUCGGAAGAACACCAGUGGCGAAGGCGGCUCACUGGCCCGAUACUGACGCUGAGGCACGAAAGCGUGGGGAGCAAACAGG